rnacentral:tRNA from 1 species
AUAUAGUUAGCUCAGUUGGUUAGAGCGUGGUGCUAAUAACGCCAAGGUCGCGAGUUCGACCCUCGUAGUGAUCA